AUUGAACGCUGGCGGCAGGCCUAACACAUGCAAGUCGAACGGUAACAGGAAGCAGCUUGCUGCUUCGCUGACGAGUGGCGGACGGGUGAGUAAUGUCUGGGAAGCUGCCUGAUGGAGGGGGAUAACUACUGGAAACGGUAGCUAAUACCGCAUAAUGUCGCAAGACAAAAGAGGGGGACCUUCGGGCCUCUUGCCAUCGGAUGUGCCCAGAUGGGAUUAGCUUGUUGGUGGGGUAACGGCUCACCAAGGCGACGAUCCCUAGCUGGUCUGAGAGGAUGACCAGCCACACUGGAACUGAGACACGGUCCAGACUCCUACGGGAGGCAGCAGUGGGGAAUAUUGCACAAUGGGCGCAAGCCUGAUGCAGCCAUGCCGCGUGUAUGAAGAAGGCCUUCGGGUUGUAAAGUACUUUCAGCGGGGAGGAAGGGAGUAAAGUUAAUACCUUUGCUCAUUGACGUUACCCGCAGAAGAAGCACCGGCUAACUCCGUG
rnacentral:rRNA from 1 species